GCUAAUACCGAAUGAUAAAGUUUGGCGCAUGCCACGCUUUUGAAAGAUGGUUUCGGCUAUCGCUUACAGAUGGGCCCGCGGUGCAUUAGCUAGUUGGUAGGGUAAUGGCCUACCAAGGCAACGAUGCAUAGCCGACCUGAGAGGGUGAUCGGCCACACUGGGACUGAGACACGGCCCAGACUCCUACGGGAGGCAGCAGUAGGGAAUCUUCCGCAAUGGACGAAAGUCUGACGGAGCAACGCCGCGUGUAUGAAGAAGGUUUUCGGAUCGUAAAGUACUGUUGUUAG
rnacentral:rRNA from 1 species